rnacentral:lncRNA from 1 species
UGCUAGAGGUUGGACAUAUAUAAGGGCUAAAGGGCACACCAGUGGUGAACAGUGCUCCCGCAACUGCCACUGUGCAAUAGCAAAGAAUGUGAGCUCUGUAUCUGAAGGUCCCGUUAUUCAGGAGGCUUGUUGCAAUGGUGCUUCGGUGAGGAGUGUUACUGGUUGAGGUACUGUUCUGGUUUCAUUUUCAGGCUUAAUUUAUGGAUGAGGCAAAAAAGUGACGCAAUCUAGAAGCCAUUUUAUUAGGUACAAGGCAUUUCGUUUGGCAAGACUAGUUGUAGUUCGGGAUAACCUCAUGAAACACAAGAGUCCACGACAGAACAGAUGUCUCAUCAGUAGUUUGCCGCCAUAUAGCUUAGGGUGAAUUGAAACUUUCAAAAUAACUUGGUGCCAUACAUUUCGGAAGAUACAUGGAUGACGUGUACAACAUUUGCUUGUUUCCCAAGGGGACGCUACUGAGAAGCUGGCUCACCAAGUCCCGGCCCAGACUGCUUCUGCUCAUUGCGGGCUUGAAGAGGCCUCAGGUGACCCUCAUGCGGAGGAAAAGGAUGAAGCGCACAAAAGUAGCAAAGGCCACGUAAGCGUACCUGCAACCGAAUGCCACAUUUCACUUGAGGUCUUGGCAAAGAGGAUCUCCCCACCGGAGUUAGACAUGGAACACGAAGACAUGGAAGAACUACGUUUUCAAUCUCUGUCAAAGCAACGAACUAAAAGCCAAAGCACACAGAAAAGGGGUUCCGCGUUUUUUGUGAAAACAAGGGAUCGGCAACAGAGAUCUAGACCCCCAGAUUAA